UCUGUAUCGCAAGACUCUCUGCACCCUCAUCUUUUCUCCCUUUUAGAAUUGUUUCCCAAUGCUCUGGAUGGAUGUCUAAACCAUAUUACUUAAGCCCUAUGGUUGAGAUUCCUUACGUGAAAGCAAAGAAUUCACAGAAGUUUUCAAAAUAUUCUGAACUAUUUCCCAAGAAGUUUUAGUUCUCCUAGCCUCUGUAUCUAAAAGGCAGAAGAGGACUAGGACCCAUUUUUAGUGGGGAAAACUGAGGUCUAAUGCAGCCAUUAACAAGAUGCAAAUGCCAGGUCCAGUUGGUUCCUAGGAUGAGCCAAAUGAUAUAUUCCCUCAGCUCUCCCAAGGAGCUCCACACUUUGGGUGAUGUACAGAAGGUGGUAUCUUGCUGGGAAAUGCCUCUGUGCACCAGAUGAAGUUCCCCCGAAUGAGACGGAACAAGGGCUCACUGUUCCUAUAGCUAUAUUCCCUGAAGAGGGAGCCAGAGACUGAGAACAAGACAGGCAGAGAUUCAAAACAAAAAUUCAAGGUAGGGACUUCCCUGGUGGCGCAGCGCUUAAGAAUCCACCUGCCAAUGCAGGGGACCGGGGUUCGAUCCCUGGUCCGGGAAGAUCCCACAUGCCGCGGAGCAACUAAGCCUGUGUGCCACAACUACUGAGCCUGUGCUCUGGAGCCUGCGAGCCACAACUACCGAAGCCCGUGCGCCUACAGCCGUGCUCUGCAACAAGAGAAGCCACCGCAGUGAGAAGCCCCUGCACACUGCAACGAAGAGCAGCCCCCUCUCACCGCAACUAGAGAAAGCCCGGGAGCAGCAACAAAGACCCAACACAGCCAAAAAUAAAUUAAUUAAUUAAUUUUUUAAAAUUCAAGGAAAAGAAGAAAUGCUUAGUUUCCUCGCUUCGUUUGUGCCCUACUCUGCAGCCCUGACAUCUCCACCAACUUCUAGGUGGCCCCCGCCCAGGGUAGAAAAAAUUGAUUGGCUUUUCUCAGGCUCUUGGUUGCCACUUCUUCGUGGUUAGGGCAGACACCUCAGUGCCUGCUGCUUCUCUUAUUUCUCUCCAGAUCUGUCACAAAUUUGUUCAUGGUCAUGGUGACACACACAGCCAGUUUUCCUACCCUGGUAUAAUAUCGGUAUCACUCCUCCUUCCUAGAGACAGGCAGGGCUUGUGGAGGAGAGCCAACCCAUGGGCCAUGGGGUGAGGGGCAGACAGGCAUAUUUCUUUCUGGUUUUUUCUUCCUCUCCUCAGGAUUUUUUUUUUUUGCAUCUUGCUUGUUAAUAUUUAAUAUUAAAAAUUAAGUCUUUUCAUGUCAUUCUAUUUGUUUAAGAGGCUGGCACUAGGCUCUUAAACAUUAACCAUUAUGUCUAUCAGUGGGUUUACUUUAUCAUUCCAGCUCUGUAGAAUAUCUAGUUUGGUGUCAAUUAUUUGAUCAAAGAUAAGCUGCACCAGAUAACAGUGUCCUUAAAAUUUUCCAUGUUCUGUGAGUUCAUUUCCAUAGGAUAGGUUCUGAAAAAACAGAAUUUCUGGCUCAAAUAAUAUGGACGUUUUUAAGGCUAGACCCUUAGCCAGCGUUAAAUCCAGACUUCAUUGUAGGGUGCGCUUAAGUUUGGCUUAUCCUUCUUGAGACUCAGUGGCAUUUUUACACUUAGGACAAUUGUGGGAGUCCAUCAGAGCAUCCUGCUCCAUGGAAGAAGGCUGUGAUCACUCACUACAGAGAGAUAUCUGUCACGUGGAAAGGAAACAGCUAAGCCUGAUCCCUGGGCGAUGCCAACUCCUGGUCCCCCAUCUGGAGAAACCACUUCCUCAUAAGCACACAAGCAAAUUGGCAAUUGAACCAUUGCUAGGUGCACCCAAAACCUCUCUAGUAACCACAGGCAACGCUGGGUUAUACAACUCAAACGACACCACUACACUUAAAA